rfam:Triticum aestivum genome assembly, contig: Triticum_aestivum_CS42_TGACv1_scaffold_113512_2AS
UUUCUACUCCCUCCGUCCGAAAAUACUUGUCAUAAAAAUGGAUAAAAAGAGAUGUAUCUAAAACUAAAAUACGUCUAGAUGUCCUUUUAUACAUUUUGAUGACAAGUAUUUCCGGACGGAGGGAGUAUUUG